rnacentral:lncRNA from 1 species
CUAUGUUUGAUGUGGCUAUUAUAACCCAUUUAUUCACAGCAAUAAACAUGAUAUUUAUGCUUUCAGUUUCUGAAACAGUGCGCCAUUUCAAUGCAGUACGCUUUAGGGUCAUCGAGGUAGAUAUAUUUCCAUGUGCCAUAAAAUUUUAGCUCGGAAGGUUUUGGAGCCCGUUCAUUCAUCUUUUUAUGUAUGUAGUAGUACCAUAUAGUUUAGACUCGUGAGUUAUUGGAGUAGGAUUUUUGUAACCCCCGGUUUAUACUCACGAAGGUAUCGACUAGAUUUUUUUUUGUGCCCCAGUUUAUACUCAUGAGGGUAUGGAGUAGAUUUUCUUUUGGUUUGUGUAUAUAUGUCACAGUUUAUACUCAUAAGAUUUUGGGGUAAAUUUUUUUUCGCACUUGAAGCUUAUAUUUGUAUCUCUUUUAUGAGAACAUUUGGCCUACAGUUUUAGCUCGUAAAGUCUAUUGGAGCAGAUUUAACCUUUAAAUUGUUUAGAAAGGUUUUGCAUACAGUUUUAGCUCGUAAAGCAUACUGGAGCAUUUAAAUAUUUUAUUCCUUUUUUUAGGAACACUUGGCAUAGAGUUUUAGCUCGUGAAGCUUACUGGAGCAUACUAAUGUUUUUUUAUAGGAACAUUUGGCAUACAUUUUUAGCUCGUGAAGCGUGUUGGAGCAUUAUAAUAUUCAUCCUUUUUUUUGGAACAUUUGGCAUACAGUUUUACCUCGUAAAGCAUGUUGGAGAAAUUUAAUAUUUUAUUCCUUUUUAUAGGAACAUCUGGCCAACAGUUUUAGCUUAUGAAGCGUAUUGGAGCACUUUGAUAACAAUUCCUUUUUAAUAGGAAGAUUUGGCUUACAGUUUUAGCUCGUAAAGCUUAUUGGAGCUUUUUUUUAAUCUCUUUAUGUAUACUGAUCACAAGGAGACAAAAUAUGGACAAUUCCUUUGUCAGGCGUACUGGAAAAGACUCUGCAUUUACCCGUGUUGCCAACAAGAAGCCUCAUAUAUUUUCUCAUGCUCAGCUGAUAGUCGAGUGGCAAAUAUAUUCCGAUAUGCUAAGUCAUCGUCUAUAGGG